UUGAAUCUUUUCGAUCCAAAUGUAGCGAAGAACCGGGGUCUGGUCCUGAACAAAUUUCACCCUUCGCUUUUUUUCUACCUCUUACGGUUACGGUGUUGGAACGAUAACAAGGUUUUUGGGUUUCGGAGGGAUUUCUCCGAACCGACAAAAUAUUUCGACUCACAGGGUGAGUUCCGGAUAGGUAUUCAUGACACCGAUACAAAGUGUGAACAUGAAAGCGACAUGGUGUACGGUUACGGAGGGAAAUUUUGUCAAAGUUUGGCGGAACAAGAAGAAUAAUAAUAAUAAUAA
rnacentral:lncRNA from 1 species